rnacentral:rRNA from 1 species
GCGGCGUGCCUAAUACAUGCAAGUCGAGCGAACGGACGAGAAGCUUGCUUCUCUGAUGUUAGCGGCGGACGGGUGAGUAACACGUGGAUAACCUACCUAUAAGACUGGGAUAACUUCGGGAAACCGGAGCUAAUACCGGAUAAUAUUUUGAACCGCAUGGUUCAAAAGUGAAAGACGGUCUUGCUGUCACUUAUAGAUGGAUCCGCGCUGCAUUAGCUAGUUGGUAAGGUAACGGCUUACCAAGGCAACGAUGCAUAGCCGACCUGAGAGGGUGAUCGGCCACACUGGAACUGAGACACGGUCCAGACUCCUACGGGAGGCAGCAGUAGGGAAUCUUCCGCAAUGGGCGAAAGCCUGACGGUAGCAACGCCGCGUGAGUGAUGAAGGUCUUCGGAUCGUAAAACUCUGUUAUUAGGGAAGAACAUAUGUUGUAAGUAACUGUGCACAUCUUGACGGUACCUAAUCAGAAAGCCACGGCUAACUACGUGCCAGCAGCCGCGGUAAUACGUAGGUGGCAAGCGUUAUCCGGAAUUAUUGGGCGUAAAGCGCGCGUAGGCGGUUUUUUAAGUCUGAUGUGAAAGCCCACGGCUCAACCGUGGAGGGUCAUUGGAAACUGGAAAACUUGAGUGCAGAAGAGGAAAGUGGAAUUCCAUGUGUAGCGGUGAAAUGCGCAGAGAUAUGGAGGAACACCAGUGGCGAAGGCGACUUUCUGGUCUGUAACUGACGCUGAUG